UGCAGAGUAGAUUUCAAAGCGUUAAGUGCCAGGUGAACAGGGAGUUGUCACUUGGACGAAAAGACAUGUCUUGCGGUUUUGAAGUCGCAUCCCGCUGCU
rfam:Butyrivibrio fibrisolvens DSM 3071 genome assembly, contig: EJ22DRAFT_scaffold00013.13